AUCAUGACCUGAGCUGAAAUCAAGAGUCGGUCGCUUUAACCAACAGAGCCACCCAGGCGCCCCGUAUUUGUCUAGCUUUUCGAGGUGGGUCAGGUGGACGACUGAAUUCAGAACAGUGUUCUUCUCUCAUAGAGCGAGCAUGCAAGUGGGACAAUCUCAGCAGACCCUGCGCUCGGCGUGGGGCGCGACACGGGUUCAAUCUCAUGACACCGAGAUCACGGCCUGAGCUGAAAUCCCAGAGUCAGACGCUCAGCCAACGGAGCCACCCAGGUGACCCUCGUUAUUACUGCUUGGGAUAAUUCAGUCUCUCCCUGUUCUCUCCUCCUUCUGGUGGACUGAUGGACGCCGGCAGGAGGCCGAGGCUCGCUCUCUCUUGGCGUCUCAUUUAGGACAGAUUCUCUUGCGAUGACUUGGAACUUUCUGUUUUUCCUUCUACCAUCUUUAUUCUUGGGUUAAUCCCAUCUAGUGAGCUUUCCUUAUCAAAUAUAGUUCCCACCUACAGAAGUUUUGUUUGGAACUUUUCAUAUUCUCGGUUCUUCUCAUUAUGUGUAUGUUUUCCUUUAAAUACUUGAAUGCAGUCAUUCCAGUUCUUUUUAAUAUCUUUGUCUGCUCGGUUAUUUCUGGGCCUCUUCCUACCGAUGGAUUUUCCUCUCGCAUGUGGAUCACAUUUCUCGCUUCUUCACGUGUCUUGUACGUUUUGAUCGGGUGUUAGGCAUUGUAACAUUUCCUUGAAAAAUUUUUUUAGAGUGUUGGUUUUAUUUUGGUGGGCAGUUAGGUUCCUUGACUGGUCAUUUCAAAGAUUUUUAACUUUUCUAGUCUAAGUCUACGUGGGUCUUCACUCCAGAGGUACCUAGGCCUACUGCUGACGUGUGACUUCUCUCAGUCUCCACUAAAGGGAGGUGAUGACGGACACUCAUUCCUCGGACUGAGUAUCUCCCUACUCUGACAGCUCUGGAAAUGGUUCGGCUUACAAGUUGUCUGUCUUUCCUUCCCCUUUUCGUAUAGAUAGCUACGCUACAUGUCUAUGGGCUAGUACACAGGGAGAACUCAAAAACAUGCCUCUACAGGUUUCUGGAGCUCUCUUCUGUGUAGUACCCUCCUUUCUAGACUGUCCUGCGACUGCCAGCCCCCUCUGCCUUCCCAAACUCCAAUUCCCAUUUUUGCAACUCACUUUGCUGCUGAGUUCUGUUUGGCCUCCCUCUCUGUGCCUUCAGCCCAGAAAUUGCCUUCAGGCAGAAAGUCAGGGGGAUUCUGGAACUCACCUCAUUUGUUUUCCUUUUUUCAAGGACCAUGAUCCUGUGCUGACUAUUGCCUGAUGCCUGAAAACAGCUGUUUCAUAUAUUUUGUCCAAUUUCCUAGCUGUUUACAGAGAGACAUUAAAGCAUAGUCCAUAGAAUAGCCAGAAGAGGAAGAGGGCAUUAGCCAUGCUGUGGCCCCAGAACACACGCCGUGGAAGAGUAAGCCGAUUUGGCUAUUUCUUAAAGUAUUUACUUUGGUAUAGAAGUUCUUUCUACAUAAACUUUCCCCCAAGUGGCAUAACUGUUUCAUCAAAAUGCUUUCAAGAGGAGAGCUAACAAAGAUCUACUUGACCGUUGCUUCUCGAAAAGUUUACAGGACACUCUGCACUUCUUAAAAUGUCUCAGGUUGUAAUCAUUAGCCCAGGCAGGAAGCCGGCACUGCUCGCCCAGCUCAGGACCCGGCGCUGCUCCCCUCUCUGACCAGAGCACUGGUUCUGGGACUUCUUUGGUUGUGAUCACAACAGUGCUGACAGGUAGCGCACAGCAACCCGUACCAGUUUCGCUGGUACGCCAGGUACUCCCAUCCAGUCCUGCCUGAGAGUGGGAACAGGCGGAGCCAAGAGGGUGAAGGGCAGCAGGGGGGAGACCCCUUGCCCCCUGGGGUCCCACAACCUAACAGUCACAGUGCCGAAUAAGCUUCCUGGCUCUCAGGGCCAGCCCUUGUCCCCACGUGGCUCAUGAGGUCUCUCUGUGGCAGUGGCCAGCGAGAACGCGUGCUGAGCCCGCCAGCGGGAGGCCCUCCACCCAUCAGCAGCUCAUGCUCCCAGAGCCCAGCCAAUGAGCCCUGACUGGAAAUUGCCUCACAACAUGUUUCUGGCGCAGAGGCCAGGCCCCCCUGGCUCUAGCUGGCCUCCUUUCCUGUGGCUUAUGCUGCUGGUCUCUGAGUCGGGUCUCACAAGGUUCUCCUAGGUCUGUCUGUCUCACAGAUGCUCACAUUCCAGUAAGGCUCUCAGACCCAAGGGGAAGUCCCUGGUGAGUGCCCAGGUAUGAGGGCUACGCGGGAAGAAGAGAAUGUAUUGUUCCAGGUGCAUUUACAAUAGAAUCACAAGACAUUCUUUCAGGUCACCUAACCUGUGUCAUUCUAACCUGUCUUAUCACAAAUCCAUAUCACAAGUGGUCGUCACUCAGAGCCAGUGCUGGGCCCUCAGCCUGCGGUCGUGUGUGCAAACCCUGGGUUUCAUGAGAAAAACAAGAGCAUCUCUGUGGAAGCCAGAUGACCAGGGCUGGGCUCACAGAGCCACAGCUGAAGCAAGGUGCCUUCAGAGGAAGGUCCAGACCCUGCUCCUGAGCCGACGCAGCCUUCAGGGAGGGCACAGGACAGUCUCCACUCAAGAACACAGACACCAAGAAGGGGACAGAUAAGACGGAGUCCUGGGGGCCCACUCAGCCCUAGUCAGAGGCAGGUGACACGCUGCAGGAUGGACAUGAGGACAAGCCCAGGAGGGCCUGGUGUGUUUGCCCUGCGAUAACAAGCGGAAACAUUCCGGACUCUCCAGUAGAGAAGCCCAGUCUUCCCAGCAGUCACCAGAUUCCCUGGCUGGGAAGGAACCUUGCCAGAGGCCGGGCCUCUCUCUGGAGCCCGCCGGCUGUGCAGAGUCACGGCAGCGUGUCGUCUGUCCUCUCCUCUGCGCGUGCAGUCCUGGCACAGCCCCCAGCCAGGGGGCCACACGGCACGAGGCGGGGCUGGCCAAACCAGCGGUAAUUUGGCACACACAUUGUUCUGAUUUUUUAACUAGUUGCCAAUACUCAAAAAUGAAAAUGUGCUACAUAAAAACAA